AGAGAGGGAGGCUUGAAGAUCUUGCACAUAUCUCUUUGACCAAAGUUGCAUGGAACUCAACCUUCAAAUGUGAAUAGUUUUUAAAGAACACGUUUUACAUUAAGGAAACAAAGACCUUCCUUUCUAUUUUUUGUCAAAAUAGCCUGUUUGCAGAAGCAGAUGUGGGUCCCAGGUACAAAUAACAAGAUUAUCCGUACUCUGAAAGUGAAAACCUUGCAAAUGCUCUACUACUUAGUGACAGAUAAGACAAGGCCUAUUAAGUCCUCAAAAAAAGCAGGGAGUUGAGCAGAGAAAGGGUAUUAAUUUGCUUUAAGAUCUGCUAACUUAACAAGAAAUUCUGGAAAGAGGCAUGCAAACCAAACUGUGGAUGAGUUUGUUUAUCAUUAAUUUCUGCCUGCUUUUUCAGUGAUAACACAGAUUCAUCCUGUCUUAUUAAGCAAAUCUUCAGCUUUAUUUUAAAGAGGGUGUGGGGCUGUGUGAGUCUUACCUGAUUUUAUCAUCCACAGAUAUUAAUCUUCCAAAGGCUUUGAAAUAAAUUACCACUAAGGUUGCUUUCCUUCCUUCCCUCUUUAUUAUCAAAUGAAUAAUGUCUGUGCUAUUUGAGGCACAUUUUGGACAUGCAGGUUGAGGUUGACCAUACUCAAAAUACUUUUUGUAUGAACAGUUUUAUUUUAACUGACUGAUUUCUGUGAAUAAGAAUUAUUCUGUUCUUGGUGCCUUGUCCAGCACUCAAAUAUUUCCUCCAACUUAAAGUAUCAGUUUAUUUUUUUUAUUUUUUACUUUUUGCUGAAUAUUCUUAGGGCUUCUCUCACGUAAACAGCAUUCUUGAGUAUUUAAAUUUCAUAUUCUUACAUCUGUUCCAAGCAAGGCAGUUUUGUUCCUGAAAAAAUUUAACAUUACCUAUUGAGUAAAGCCUUGUCCAAGUUGUUCUUUUCAAGUCUGUAGGGUUGCUUAGGCAUGUGAAAUAAAAUAAAUGGACAUUUUCAGGACUGAGGUCUGCGUUGUGUCAGUGAAAUCAACUAGAAAAGGUUGUUCAGCUGAGUGUAUAGAAAUAUGUCAGCUGGAAGUUAGAAGAGAAACAUUAACUGCCAAAUGUAACCACAUAAUUCACUUUUUUUCUUCUCUGUAACCUUAAAAAGAAAUGUGGAGUGGGAAUCCAAAGAGAAAAUGUGAGGGUCUUCCACAUUAUUACAAGGCUCAUAUCAAGACUGUUGAUUACUUGGAAGAACUCGUAUGUCUCAAUGCCAUGAGCAUUGCCCCAAUGUACACAAGGAUUUAACAUCACGUAGUAGCUCUAAGAAGGAACAGAUGGCUAAAGCAGGAAAUUUCUUACAUGAAAAGUUAUUCUUAGAAGCAUCUUUGUGGACCUUUGUUAGACUCUCUCUAGUAUGUCCAUGACUCUCUUGUGUAAGUUUUGGGAGCAAGGACACCUGUUAGUCUACACAGUAUUUUGCUUACCAGGGCAAGUGCAACUCCAACAAAAAUGACUGUAGGAGUUCAUGUAAAACAUAGAUUUCAUUUGGGAAGUAAAUAAUCUUCAAGUUUCACAAGUAUGUUUUAGUAAAAAAAUGUGUGUUUUGCUAUACUGAUACAAGCAUAUUACAGUGGUGUUAUUGCCUUUGUGUGUGCUGGAAUGUAGAUCAGACAAGGCUACUCAUUCUUUCUAAAUAAAUAAAAUAGAACUCAACAUUUAUUUGUUUCUUACAACCUUCAGGUUUUAUUCAGUGGAAACAGAUAACGAUGUAGGUAGGACGUACAAAAAACUCUCUUCAGAUUUUGAAUUACACAGAAUGAUUUCACAAUAAAAAAAAAAAGUGAAAUUGCAUGAAAAGCAGUACUACAACUAUGCUAGAAAACAGGAUUAUACAGAACACUUCAAUUGGGGAAAUUGUCUCCCAAACACCAAGAUGCAGUUCAUCAAGAUAAAUGUAAGAUUCUGCACUCAAGCAGCAGCGAGUUUUCUCCAUUUUAUUCUGCCACCUUUAUUGAAUAGGAGACUGAUGGUUUCCCAUGUUUUGAUGGUUUUCCUUAAGAAAUUACUCCAGUAUAAAAAUGGCUGUCCUUAACACUACCAAAACUGGUUCUGAAAAUGUUUUACAGCAGUGUUUGCUAAUUAAAGGAAUCUCAUUUGUCAACACUAUAAUCCCCUAUCACCUGAAGCAUGUUCUCAACAGAAAGGAUGUGUUAAACACAGCUACCAUCUUAGUUUUUGAUCAGAAACACUGAAAUACUGCAAAGUUGAAACAUACUCAAAGGCCCCAGCUUAUGCCUGUUUAAUAUUGUUAAGAAUGUAUGUUGGUUUGUUUUUUGUUUUGGUUUACUUUUAGUCUUUCAGGAGGGGUUGCCCAGAGAUAAGAAGGAAGGAAAAUCCCUUCUAAGUCAGAUGCCUGUUUAGCAUGUUCAGAGUUUUAUUUUUGAAGACCGUGGUCUUUAAGCUGGAAUGACAAUUAUUGCUCUCUGUGUACGGAAUACCCGCCUUAGGCUCGGAAUGAGCUAAGUGACUUGGCCAUGACCAGUAAUAUUUCCAAAGCUGACAUCUACAAGAUUGCUGAAGCUGGUGAGGGUGACAGACUGUUGGGAAACCUAGGAUUGCCUUCUCUGAAGUUUUUAAUGUUAGCUAUUUCUUGGAACAGUUAAAAUUGUCAAGGAAUUGCUUAAGUUUCUGACUUCCUUGCCAGAGGACUCUACCUUCUUUCCCCCAUCACAUCAGGUCAUAUCAGGAAAGGGACUGAGACCCCACAAAGAAACAGCAGUCAAAACUGGAUUGCCACCAAUAGAAGACCUUUAAAAUGCGCAGACAGAAGUCUGGUUUUGAUCAACCUCUUUCACGAGCAAGCAUGGAAAGAGACAGGAAUAUUAUGCACAUAGUACUACUCGUAUGUCCAUGUACAAAGAACCAGUUUCUGGAGUACAUCAGAACUAUUACUUGCAGAUAUGCUUACUGAACAUCUGUUCAUGCCUCCAGGUUUGGUGUUGUAGCACGAUAUGGCACUGCCUUACCUCUAAAACAGUCCCUUGACUCUGCACACAGUACUGCCCUAGAACAAAUGAGGAAAGACAUUUACAUUUCUUUUAGAGAAGUCUUAUUUAAAUAUUUUCUCAUAAAAUAUGAAAUCAAUAACCUGUGUUAAAGCCGAAUGCACUAUAAUCUCUUAAAUUUUUAAGCAGUUACUGUGUUGGCAAAGCCUUAAAGAGAAUACAGUGAACUGAUGGAGUAGUAUGCAGCCCUGACUUGUGAGAGUGAGAAGCAAGUUUUUGAAGAGCUAAACCAUGGUCUGAUUGCAGUAGCUUCUUGCAGCUCAGUUGUACUUUAUCCAGCUGAAGUCAAACAAUCAGUUCAAAGUUGGAAAAAGUUUAGGAGCUGAAAAAGAAGAAAGCUUGCUUUUUCCUCUUCCAUGCAUAGGAAAGGUCUGUGAGGGUAAAAUGUACUUUGUCUAAAAGCUGAAUGGUAGCUACAAACAGUUCUGUCUCUUUUUAUCAUUAGGUAUUUCCUGAAUGUAUCCAGCACAUCUGAAACAGAUCGAUGUAAGAAAGAAUUAGCUUGAAUGCCUUUUUCCAUAUAAUUCUACUUUGCAUCCAAAUAGAGCCCUAUGAUGACUAAUGGGAUGUUAAAUAAUUGGGAAAAAUGUACUUAGAACAUUUUCU
ensembl:lncRNA